GACGUCGAAUAUCGACGUCUUAAACACCAAAGUUGAUCGUGUUUAUGACGUCGAAUAUCGACGUCAUAAACACCAAAGUUGAUCGCGUUUAUGAAGUCGAAUAUCGGCGUUAUAAACACCAAAGUUGAUCGUGUUUAUGUAUCGACGUGAUAAACACCUAACUUCAUCGUGUUUAUCACGCCGUAUAUCGCCGUCAUAAACACCUAAGUUGAUCGUGUUUAUGACGUCGAAUAUCGACGUCAUAAACACCAAAGUUGAUCGUGUUUAUUACGUCGAAUAUCGACGUC
rnacentral:miRNA from 1 species